CUCUGCAGCAUCGAAGCCGUUGAUCAAGUGGAGCGCUCACGCUAUUCGUUAUAACUCUGCGACACGGGUCUGAGCCCCCACUCGAAGGGUCCAAGAAGGCAAGAACGUUCACUCCUCGCCACUCCUGGAAUCUUCAUUCCGAAGCAUCAUCCCCCUCCAACUCUACUGUCACCUCCGUAUCUAGGGUUCUUAAUCUCCAACAACAAGUGUGAAUGGCGGGAGGCGGCGCAGCUGCUAAGGCAAACUCCGGCGGCAAUAGUAGCGUGCGUAUCGUUGUCGCCGGUGACUCCGGCACAGGGAAAUCGAGCUUGAUUGUUACCGCUGCUGCCGAUACUUUUCCGACCAACGUCCCCCCUGUGUUGCCACCCACCAGGUUGCCCGUUGACAUGUUCCCCGAUCGAGUCCCUGUCACAAUUCUCGAUACUUCUUCUAGUUUGGAGAACAGAGGUAGACUGGCCGAGGAACUGAAGCGAGCGGAUGCUGUUGUGCUUACUUAUGCCUGUGAUCAGCCUGCCACCCUUGACCGGUUGAGUACUUUUUGGCUCCCCGAACUUCGUAGAUUAGAGGUAAAGGUGCCCGUGAUAGUGGUUGGUUGCAAGCUAGAUUUGAGAGAUGACCAGGAUCCAGUGAUUUUGGAGCAGGUGAUGUCACCAAUAAUGCAGCAGUUUAAGGAGAUUGAAACUUGUAUGGAGUGUUCAGCAUUUAAACAUAUUCAGAUCCCUGAAGUUUUCUUCUAUGCUCAAAAGGCAGUUCUUCAUCCGACAGCUCCUUUAUUCGAUCAGGAAGCGCAAACUCUAAAGCCACGGUGCGUGAGAGCUUUAAAACGGAUAUUCAUUCUCUGUGAUCAUGACAGGGAUGGUACACUCAAUGAUGCAGAGUUGAAUGAUUUUCAGGUGAAGUGUUUCAAUGCUCCAUUACAACCUUCUGAAAUAGUGGAAGUUAAGAGGGUUGUGCAAGAAAAACUACCUGAAGGGGUUAGUGAUCGUGGUCUUACUUUGACCGGAUUCCUCUUUCUUCAUGCAUUAUUCAUAGAAAAGGGCCGCCUUGAGACAACAUGGACUGUGCUAAGGAAAUUCGGAUACAAUAAUGAUAUCAGACUCAGUGAUGAUCAGCUUCCACCUCCAAUUAAACGAGCACCUGACCAGAGUACGGAGCUGACAAGUGAAGCACUGGAAUUUCUCAGGGGAAUCUUUCUUUUGUUCGACAUUGAUGGUGAUGGAACCCUUAAAGAAGGUGAGCUUGAAGAUCUUUUUUCUACUGCACCAGAAAGUCCUUGGGAGGAAGCUCCAUAUAAGAACACUGCAGAGAAAACUGUCCUAGGAGGACUAUCACUUGAUGGAUUUUUGUCUGAGUGGGCUCUUAUGACACUUGUGGAUCCAAUUCGUACCAUGGAGAAUCUUAUAUAUAUUGGAUAUGGUGGUGAUCCUUCUUCUGCCAUUCGUGCCACUCGGAGAAAACGUUUUGAUCGGAAAAAACAACAAUCAGACAGAACUGUUUACCAUUGUGUUGUUUUUGGGCCAAAAAGAGCUGGAAAAUCUGCAUUAUUAAAUUCUUUCAUUGGAAGGCCUUUCUCAGAUGAUUAUAUUCCAACCACUGAUGAGCAAUACGCUGUUAAUGUUGUUGAUCUACCUGGGGGAACUAAGAGGACUCUUGUACUUCAUGAGAUGCCUGAAGAGGGAGUUCAAAAGUUGUUGUCUAAGAGAGAUACUUUGGCAGCUUGUGACAUAGCAGUGUUUGUUCAUGAUAGUUCUGACGAGUACUCAUGGAAGAGAGCAACUGAAUUGCUUGUGGAAGUUGCUAGCCAUGGGGAAGUGACUGGCUAUGAGGUGCCUUGCCUCAUUGUUGCAGCUAAAGAUGAUCUAGAUCCAUUUCCAACUGAGAUACAAGAUUCCACAAGGGUAAGUCAGGAUAUGGGAAUAGAGGCUCCUAUACCUAUCAGCACAAAGCUAGGAGAUCUUAAUAAUGUUUUCCCAAGAAUUGUGAAUCCAGCUGAGCACCCUCACUUGAGCAUUCCUGAAACUGAAGCUGGAAGAAGCCGCAAGCAAUACCAUCGGCUUAUCAACCGCUCUCUGAUGUUUGUAUCAGCGGGAGCUGCAGUAGCCAUUGUUGGGUUGGCGGCGUAUCGGGUUUAUGCAGCAAGGAAAAGUGCUUCCAGUUAAAAGAGUGAAGGUUUAUGGGCUCCAUUUUAAUAGGUUUACCUCGCCUUAAUUAUCUCAGCAUGGCUCUUUUUGUAAAGAAUUUGUAGGUUUCAGUUCUAAAGAAGCAUAUAUAUAUAUAUAUAUAUAUAUAUAUAUAUAUAUGUAUAACAUAAAAAGCCUCACCUUAGCUCUUAAAAGUUGUUUUUAGUGGGUCUUGGCAUUGGUGAUUUCUAAUGCUGCAACAAAAAAAAAGAAAAAAGAAAAAAAAAGAGAAUUUUGAAAUAUAACAUCCAAGCUUGGUGAGGAGAAGCCUUCCAAUAUGGAAUCACGGAUUGCUAGAAGUAGAUUUUUUUUUUAUUUGAAAGUUGUUAUUGCGAUUGCCAUUUUUCCUUGGUAAUUGCAUAUUUGAUGAUGUAAUACAAUAAACUAUAAAAGGGUUAAAUUUUUAAUUUUA